UACCAGCACCCCGAGUGGUCGGGACGUUUAUUGGGCCUAAAGCAUCCGUAGCCGGUUCUACAAGUCUUCCGUUAAAUCCACCUGCUCAACAGAUGGGCUGCGGAAGAUACUAUGGAGCUAGGAGGCGGGAGAGGCAAGCGGUACUCGAUGGGUAGGGGUAAAAUCCGUUGAUCCAUUGAAGACCACCAGUGGCGAAGGCGGCUUGCCAGAACGCGCUCGACGGUGAGGGAUGAAAGCUGGGGGGAGCAAAC
rnacentral:rRNA from 1 species